CUCCCCAGCCUGCCACACCUGCCAGUAAUCAACCUCAUCCCUGCCCGUAUAUCAACCCCGGUUCUCCACACCAUCUUCGCUUGAUCAUCGUUGCUCCCAACCUGGUUCACUCUCCCUAGUCCUCCGUUCAGUUGGCUAGGCUCGUCCUCCGGUCCUCUCCUCUCGGGCUUCCUCCACGGCGCCCUCCCGGCUCCCCCUGAUCCUCGCCUGCUCCUCGUUCCUCUGUGUCCACGUCCCCCGGCGUCCACCUCACCUCCAUCUCCUCUUCUCUAGCCCCUCUGUAAUCUCUCAAUAAACCUCCUUCCCACUGA